UGCAUUAGGACACGUGACAAGGCCUGGGGGAGGCCUGAUUCCCUGUGACCACAGGUCCUGGUGGGACAGGGUUCCACUGAGGGACAAGGUCAGAGGAGCAGAGAGGUGACCCGGCCGAGGAGUGACCACGUCAAAGCCCACGAUGCACUGAGCACCACCUGGGCACAGGCCCCGACCACACUCCGUCCUCACAGCCUCUCCCGUCCCCCCUGCAAAGAGCACAAAACACACAGGAAUCUGCAGAAUCCUUGGUGCUUCCAUUUAUUUCCUCUGAGAAAAUAAUUAAUUAAAGGGUCUCCUUUAAUUACCCGUCACCCGUCACGGCAAGAAUGAAAACACCAGGCCAAUCCACAGUCUCAUUUCAAUACAAAGCAGGAAGUGGCAGCUCAGAGCCCCAGGGAGGAAAG